AAGCAUUUGGUCCUAUCUUUCCUGAUGUGGUUUCCCACUGUCAUUGUAUCCCAAAGAAGCAUGAAGCAUCCACUUUUAUUUGGGUUGGAUUCAAUCCCAAAUCCCAGAAAAUUUGAGAGGCAUGUGAACUGACAGCAAGGAUUCUUGGUGAUAGCCAAACCACUGACCUUUCAACUGCCCAUUCGUCAGCGAAGAGGUGCCUGCGUCACACUGCUGGAAGCUGAAUCUCCCGGCCCUCACACCAGCAGCAACCUCUUCCAGUGAUCCACGUUCUGCCAAGAAUGGUG